rnacentral:rRNA from 1 species
CUAGCUGUAAACGAUGUGAACUUGGCGUCGGCGGGUUCAAAUCCGUCGGUGCCGUAGCUAACGCGAUAAGUUCACCGCCUGGGGACUACGGCCGCAAGGUUAAAACUCAAAGGAAUUGACGGGGGCCCGCACAAGCAGCGGAGCGUGUGGUUUAAUUCGAUGUUACACGAAGAACCUUACCAGGGUUUGACAUGUAGGUGGUAGUGAAGCGAAAGCGGAACGACUCUUCGGAGAGCCUGCACAGGUGC